UACGGAGGAUCCAAGCGUUAUCCGGAAUCAUUGGGUUUAAAGGGUCCGUAGGCGGUUUGGUAAGUCAGUGGUGAAAGCCCAUCGCUCAACGGUGGAACGGCCAUUGAUACUGCUGAACUUGAAUUAUUAGGAAGUAACUAGAAUAUGUAGUGUAGCGGUGAAAUGCUUAGAGAUUACAUGGAAUACCAAUUGCGAAGGCAGGUUACUACUAAUGGAUUGACGCUGAUGGACGAAAGCGUGGGUAGCGAACAGG
rnacentral:rRNA from 1 species